rnacentral:rRNA from 1 species
GAUGAACGCUGGCGGCGUGCUUAACACAUGCAAGUCGAACGGACGGAUUGGAGCUUGCUCCAUGAAGUUAGUGGCGGACGGGUGAGUAACGCGUGGGUAACCUGCCCUAUGCAGGGGGAUAACGUUUGGAAACGAACGCUAAUACCGCAUGACCUAAUUGGUUCGCAUGAACUGAUUAGCAAAGAUUUUAUCGGCAUAGGAUGGACCCGCGUUGGAUUAGCUAGUUGGUGAGAUAAAAGCUCACCAAGGCGACGAUCCAUAGCCGGCCUGAGAGGGUGAACGGCCACACUGGGACUGAGACACGGCCCAGACUCCUACGGGAGGCAGCAGUGGGGAAUAUUGCACAAUGGGCGCAAGCCUGAUGCAGCGACGCCGCGUGAAGGAUGAAGGUUUUCGGAUCGUAAACUUCUAUCAGCAGGGAGGAACCAAAUGACGGUACCUGACUAAGAAGCCCCGGCUAACUACGUG